GCCGACUUGGCUCAGUAGGUAGAGCAACUGACUUGUAAUCAGUAGGUCACCAGUUCGAUUCCGGUAAUGACUCCA
rnacentral:tRNA from 5 species